AGCAGCCGCGGUAACUCCAGCUCCAAUAGCGUAUAUUAAAGUUGUUGCAGUUAAAAAGCUCGUAGUUGAAUUUCGGGAUCAAUAUUUCGGUCAUGCCGUUGGUAUGCACUGUUAUCAUUGAUUUCUCACCUUCUAAAGAACCGUAAUGCCAUUAAUUUGGUGUUACGGGGAAUUAGGACUGUUACCUUGAAAAAAUUAGAGUGUUUAAAGCAGGCUCACGCUUGAAUACAUUAGCAUGGAAUAAUGAAAUAGGACAUCCGAUUCUAUUUUGUUGGUUUCUAGGAUCGAUGUAAUGAUUAAUAGGGAUAGUUGGGGGCAUUAGCAUUCAAUUGUCAGAGGUGAAAUUCUUGGAUUUAUUGAAGACUAACUACUGCGAAAGCAUUUGCCAAGGAUGUUUUCAUUAAUCAAGAACGAAAGUUAGGGGAUCGAAGAUGAUUAGAUACCAUCGUAGUCUUAACCAUAAACUAUGCCGACUAGGGAUUGGUGGACGUUUGUAACGACUCCAUCA
rnacentral:rRNA from 1 species